UCUAGCCGCCUUUCCGCCCACAGGAGAACGC
rnacentral:piRNA from 1 species